UCCUCCGCCAUGCGCCGCCCCCUCCGGCCACCUCCCCUCCGCCGUGCGCCGCCACCACCCCUGCGGCUUUCCACCACCGGGAACACUCGACGCCGACGCCGCACCUUCCCCCAACUCCUCUCUCUCCUCCUUUGCCGCACCGCUCUUCAUCACCCGGCCAACUCCGUCGAAACGGGCAGGCGGCGCUGGAGUUCGCCGGAACGGGCCGGCGAGCGGUAAGAGCCGCGGCGGCGGCGCGAAAACUGACGGAUUCAGGCGCGGCAUCGACGGAUCUGGUGACUGGUGCGGCAGCUUGCUAGAUGGCGGCGGCUGGUGCCCUACUCAUCCAGAGAAAGAGAGAGACAGAGCGUGAGGGAGAGAGGAAGAAAUGAGAAGGAGAAGGGGCGCAGGGUGAGGGAGGCAGGCAGGGCGGCGUGUUCCUGUUGAGGCGCCGGCGUGCGGUUGCCGGCAAGGGUAACACAUCUCGCUGGAGCACACGUUGUUCUUGGCCAGAGGCCUCGGAUCGACCGGCUGGGCUCGGCGCUGCUGAGCAACGACGGUGGCGGGGGGUCAAGGGGAUCGUUGAGGACGCCAGCAAGAACCUCUUCAAACUACGCGUAAUUCCUGUACCAUUGGCUUUAUCGGUUAUUUGUACGAGACUCACCCUCUUUGUGUCGAGGAAAGAGCCGGAAGGAGAGUACAUGGAUGAGGAGGGGAAGAAUGGCUAGGCAGAUUGCCCACAACUUUGCACAGGUGCAGCCAAACAAAGCCUAGCUGGACAUCAUUUGUCAAGGUUUGCACACAACUACACACUGAAAAUUCUAGAUGGGUUGAUUCAGAUUUUGGUGCUACUGCCUAUCAUCCAUAGCAUCUCCUCUUUUUACCACCAGCCACCACUACCACAAUGGUACAAAUCUCAUCUGAACUCCAUGUCACUCCCUUGCCUUAAUACCUUCUUAUACUUGUUGUUUGUUUGGUCCAUCUUCAGUUCCUCACACAAAUCAGGUUGUCCCACCGGCCUACAGAACUUGGAUAUUUGCUACAACAGUCUGCCAUGUGGUUCAUUACUUGGUUGAUGCCCAUCGAGAGUUCAAGACUAAUCUACACUAGACAUUCUUGAUUCCUUAUUAUUUGCAUUAUUUUCAGAUCCAUUACCUUCUUGCGUAUCGUCAUCUAUGCAGCACAUGCCAACAAGCUCUGUCGACGUGGUGCGUAUAUAGUAAUCUAACAAGGCAGUACACAUGUAUGCAAGCAGAGAGACAUAUGAGACCAUGAGGGCAUCCUAUAGACAAAAAGGACAUUCGAGGAAUUAAAAAAUUGAAUCGUCUCCACAGAACAAACUGCAAGCUUUGAAAUCAUUGAAGUGUUGACAAUUCCGUAAUCUCUUAACAUAGGCUGCCGCCAUCAUGCUUCUCAGGCCCGGAGGCUCUGUUCAUAAUCACCUCUCGCCAUAUCCGGGGAGGAUUAUGGUCUAGGGCUCUAGGAAGAGCGGCACAUGAUGCUGUAGUGUGGCUAUUGUCAAUGACACGGUCGUGAUGUUGUCCACUUUGUCCCGGUGGUUCGAAAGCAACGCAAUGACAUCAUGUUUCUUCUCCUCAGCGAGUUUAUUAUUUUUCAUAGACCUCAUGGAGAAGAGUACCCAGGGCUGAGGAGACAAGUGCUGGAGAGGGUGGGAUGCAUCAGGAUGAGAGGGAAGAAAGUGCUAGAGGAUGUAAACAUUUGGAGGAACAUGUAUAUAGUGAUUCUUUGUGGAAAAAAAUGUAUAGUGUGGUUGGUGUAUACGUCCUUUUUGUGAUAAUAAUAAAUGAAGUGCAUUCUGGUGCUA